GAUGAAGAACGUAGCGAAAUGCGAUAAGUAGUGUGAAUUUCAGAAUUCAGUGAAUCAUCGAAUCUUUGAACGCACAUUGCGCCCUUUGGUAUUCCAAAGGGCAUGCCUGUUCGAGCGUCAUUUGUACCCUCAAGCUUUGCUUGGUGUUGGGCGUCUUGUCUCUAGCUUUGCUGGAGACUCGCCUUAAAGUAAUUGGCAGCCGGCCUACUGGUUUCGGAGCGCAGCACAAGUCGCACUCUCUAUCAGCAAAGGUCUAGCAUCCAUUAAGCCUUUUUUUCAACUUUUGACCUCGGAUCAGGUAGGGAUACCCGCUGAACUUAAGCAUAUCAAUAAGCGGAGGA
rnacentral:misc_RNA from 1 species